UUAUCAAAGAGUUAAUCGAUAGGUCAGUGCUUCCCGUGGAGCUGAAAGGCAUCAUCGAUAUGGGAUUUGAUGACCUACAGUGGUACUCCAUGACCGUCAUGCAUCAGAUGCCAUCCUUAUCUCUUGUUUCAUUCUUUGGCUUCUCCUCUCGCCUUUUUUCUGAUCGUAACUUUCUAUAGGUACUCUAUUUUUUGGUUGACACUUUGAACCAUGCAUGCAGGGUAGAGAUCCACAGAGCUUUGCAUCGAAAGACCGAAUCCAAUACUGCAGAGAUGCACACACAUGUCGAUGCAGCCAAGGUAGAGGCCGAUAAGCUAAGGGAAUCCCUCAAUAAAGUUUUCAUCGAUCUCGCAUGAAAAGGGGAGGAGCUUCAGGCGGCCAAUGCAAAGCUCGCUGAGGUUGAGAAGAAGGCCAAGGAGCGGAUUGCCAAGGCCAAUGAGAGGGCCAAGGAUCGAGUCACCAAGGUUAGGUGGGAGGUUGAAGAGAAGAUCGUCGAGGCCCGUCGAUCGAUCAUAGAAUCCUUCAAGGAUUUGGAGGAUUUCAAGUAGGAACAGGCUCAAGUAGUUGAUAGUUUUAAGGCAUCGGAGGAGCAUCAUGAUGCCUAGGUUGCAUUUGGUCAGGAGCCCUUCAAUGUGGGAUAUGAGGCCGGAUUCGAAGAUUGCUGCCACCUGAUUGCUGACCGACUUUCUGAUGUCGAUCUCUCCUUUUUGGAUGAGGAUGAGGAUGAUGAGGAGGCUGCAGUAGAGCUGGCUCCUCCUAAUUUUGGGGCCAUCGAGGAGUAGACAAGGAACAAAGAGGUGACGAUUGAAGUUUCUCUACCGCCCAUUGCUACAACGGGUCCCUCCGAAGCAUCCCUGGGUCCCUUAGGAGUUGCACCAGCUCCUCCGAUCUUCAUGGUGAGGUCAAAAAAUAAAACUUGUACUUUUUUCCUCUCUUUUUUAUUGUAAGAAGGUAGUUAUCAAUGAAACAACAUUUCAUUCUUCUCUAAAUUUGUGUCGCUUUUCUUUCACUUGUCUAGCUAUGUCAGUUUGUCCUCGAUGAAUAUACUCCUUCAAUUCCCGUCGUUGAGUCCUUACUGGUGGUUUCUGUGAUAAAGAUUAGGUCCCAUAUAGGCGAUCUGGAAAAAAGAGUUUAGGAGCUGAAUAAAAUGACUGUUGUUCGGAAGGAGUUAUCGAAUACUAGAAAAGCAUUGGUCGAGGCUUUAGCAGAGGUCAAUCAAUUGAAGAUGACUAAUCGUCGAAGUGUCAUGGCAUACUCCAUCGAGAAGGCCCGAUUAGUAGUCAAGUUUGUAUGACUGUCGAAACUCAUUGAGGAUGCCACCUGGGGCACCAUUGUCAGGCAAAAAGAUCUCCAUAUCCAAUUCCAUUGAACUCAAGAUAGAAUUUUGAAAUUGAAAUCAUCGGAGGCUGCUGCUAAAGAGGCAAGAAGUUACUUCGCCGACCAUGCCGCCCGACUUCAGAAAGAUCUUCGCACC
rnacentral:lncRNA from 1 species